rnacentral:rRNA from 1 species
UACGUAGGUGGCAAGCGUUGUCCGGAAUUAUUGGGCGUAAAGCGCGCGCAGGCGGUCCUUUAAGUCUGAUGUGAAAGCCCACGGCUCAACCGUGGAGGGUCAUUGGAAACUGGGGGACUUGAGUGCAGAAGAGGAGAGUGGAAUUCCACGUGUAGCGGUGAAAUGCGUAGAGAUGUGGAGGAACACCAGUGGCGAAGGCGACUCUCUGGUCUGUAACUGACGCUGAGGCGCGAAAGCAUGGGGAGCAAACAGG